GGGCGCGCGCCUCAGGCAUGGUGGGCGGAGCCCGGGGAGGAGGCGGGUGGGGAACGGCCCGGGACUCGCACGUGGAGGUAUAGGGCGGACGCCUCCCUCAGCCAGGGCAAGACUGAGGAGCAGUUCCUGGGAGAAGCACAUUGUGGCUGCAGCAAGGCAAGGGGACUUGGACUGAACUACAUCUGCAUGGAACUUAGACAAAUGAGAGACAAGGCUUCAAGAGAAUAAAAUGUUGGUGGUGUUCUCCAGGGCUGACUUGAAUAACUGUCCGUUGGAUCUCUCUCUAGUGGAGGGUAUGGUUGUUUGAGUUCAAUGACAUCAUAGAUUGAUGUCAUUGACCAUUAUGUCAUUGGCCACAAUGCUUUGUGUGACCCCAGAAAUACAGAGGUACUGACAUCAGGUAGCACAGUAGGCAGCUGCACCAAGGGGAUUUAAUCAUUCCUUAUAUGAUACUUCAAUAACUAACAACAAUGAAAAUUAUCGAUUAUUGGGGUUUGUCAUAUGUGAGUUUAAUUAAUUGAAUGCAUUUAAAUUGUAUUUAAUUCUUACAGCAAACUUACAA
rnacentral:lncRNA from 13 species